AACACAACCCAAAAAGAAAAAAGUUGUUGUUGAGCAUUCAUCUCCUGAAGAAGAUCAAUACUUUGAUGGGUACAGUACCUUGGAGAACGAAGCUGACCUGCGAUCGACAAAAGGUCGCUAUGUCUCCUCUGAAAUAAUACCGGCUGUGAACUUGGGAAGUGAUGAUCCUUCCUCUCAAGGACGCACAGAAUAGAGUAGUGUAAACCAGCCGGCAGAGAGCAUGUUGAGUCCGGUUCAACAGUCAGCCAGUGAGCCGGCUGAUUCGAAUAUGAUGGUUGUGAGGGAACAGACACCGUCGGAUGCGCUUGCAAUGUGAGUUUUCCAAGAAUAUUUCAACCUUAUAACCUUAUUAUUUU